AGACGCGGAUAUAGAGUUUGUCCCGAACGGUACAGGAAGUCCUUGCUUCUUUGCUGACCAGUGGCGGACGGGUGAGUAAUGUCUGGGAAACUGCCUGAUGGAGGGGGAUAACUACUGGAAACGGUAGCUAAUACCGCAUAACGUCGCAAGACCAAAGAGGGGGACCUUCGGGCCUCUUGCCAUCGGAUGUGCCCAGAUGGGAUUAGCUAGUAGGUGGGGUAACGGCUCACCUAGGCGACGAUCCCUAGCUGGUCUGAGAGGAUGACCAGCCACACUGGAACUGAGACACGGUCCAGACUCCUACGGGAGGCAGCAGUGGGGAAUAUUGCACAAUGGGCGCAAGCCUGAUGCAGCCAUGCCGCGUGUAUGAAGAAGGCCUUCGGGUUGUAAAGUACUU
rnacentral:rRNA from 1 species